rnacentral:misc_RNA from 1 species
GAAAUGCGAUAAGUAAUGUGAAUUGCAGAAUUCAGCGAAUCAUCGAAUCUUUGAACGCACAUUGCGCCUCCGGGUAUUCCUGGAGGCAUGCCUGUUCGAGCGUCGUUAAAGACCAUGAGGCUUUGCCUUGCGAUGAGCUCCCGAUGUUUCGACGUCGGUUGCUUCAAACCCUUGGGCGUCUGAAGUUGGCCAAAGCACAGCGAUAUGUGUCCGGAAGCCAAAUGAGGAUUGCCAGUACCACAAUUUUGGGUCGACCUCGGAUCAAGCAAGACUACCCGCUGAACUUAA